rnacentral:rRNA from 1 species
UACAAGGAAGUUAGACGGGGGCCCGCGACAAGCGUGGAGCACGUGGUUUAAUUCGAUGCAAACCGAAGAACCUUACCUGGGUUUGACAUGUACGUGUUACUGAUCUGAGAGGAGAGGGACCAUGCUUCGGUAUGGGAGCGUACACAGGUGCUGCAUGGCUGUCGUCAGCUCGUGUCGUGAGAUGUUGGGUUAAGUCCCAUAACGAGCGCAACCCCUACCUUUAGUUGCCAUCAGGUAAUGCUGGGGACUCUAAAGGAACUGCCUACGCAAGUAGUGAGGAAGGCGGGGAUGACGUCAAAUCAGCACGGCCCUUACGUCCAGGGCUACACACGUGCUACAAUGGCCGAUACAGAGGGCAGCUACCUGGUGACAGGAUGCAAAUCUCCAAAGUCGGUCUCAGUUCGGAUCGGAGUCUGCAACCCGACUCCGUGAAGUUGGAUUCGCUAGUAAUCGCGCAUCAGCCAUGGCGCGGUGAAUACGUUCCCGGGCCUU